AUUGAACGCUGGCGGCAGGCCUAACACAUGCAAGUCGAGCGGAUGAAGGGAGCUUGCUCCUGGAUUCAGCGGCGGACGGGUGAGUAAUGCCUAGGAAUCUGCCUGGUAGUGGGGGAUAACGUCCGGAAACGGGCGCUAAUACCGCAUACGUCCUGAGGGAGAAAGUGGGGGAUCUUCGGACCUCACGCUAUCAGAUGAGCCUAGGUCGGAUUAGCUAGUUGGUGGGGUAAAGGCCUACCAAGGCGACGAUCCGUAACUGGUCUGAGAGGAUGAUCAGUCACACGGGAACUGAGAACCGUGCCAGACCCCUACGGGAGGCAGCAGUGGGAAAUAUUGGACAAGGGGCGAAAGCCUAUUCCAGCCAUGCCGCGGGGGUGAAGAAGGGCUUCGGAUUGUAAAGCACUUAAGUUGGGAGGAAGGGCAGUAAGUUAAUACCUUGCUGUUUUGACGUUACCAACAGAAUAAGCACCGGCUAACUUCGUG
rnacentral:rRNA from 1 species